GAUAAAAUGGAGAGCAAGAUCGAAAUUAGACACUCUUCCAAACAGCAUGGCAUGAUGAGGACCACUGCUCCUGGAUCCUAAUAGCAGUGCUUCUGAUAUCUGAGGUCAUAAUAACCAUCUUGUGACCAGAAAGCCACCAACAUGAGGAGAAAAGCCAAAAGGGUUGGGGAUGGUGAAUCUGAAGAACAGAAUGAGACUAGAUCCCAGAGACCCUGGAUGCCCUGAAAAUAAUAUUUAACCCAGUGACUGCUCAUCAAAGUGAGAACAAUGAUAUGCUGGAAUGGCACCUGGAGCGCGUUCCGUGGUCCGCACAGCUGGCUACCACAGAGCGUCUCGGGAACAAGCUCCGGGCUUUCAAUGCCUUUGUGUUUCGGAAUCCUAUUGGCAAUCUUCUGCAACUUUUCAAACUGGGGCAGCUGAAUUAGAUCCUGCCUUUGCUCUUUUCCAUCAGCAAUUUGCUUAAGUUUUG